AGCGCAGGCGGGAAGGUAAGUCGGUCUUAAAGUGCGGGGCUCAACCCCGUGAUGGGAUCGAAACUAUCUUUCUUGAGUGCAGGAGAGGAAAGUGGAAUUCCUAGUGUAGCGGUGAAAUGCGUAGAUAUUAGGAGGAACACCAGUGGCGAAGGCGACUUUCUGGACUGUAACUGACGCUGAGGCUCGAAAGCCAGGGGAGCGAACG
rnacentral:rRNA from 1 species